UAGUCCACGCCGUAAACGAUGCUCACUCGCUAUUUGCAAUAUAUCGUAAGUGGCUGAGGGAAACCAUUAAGUGAGCCACCUGGGGAGUACGUUGGCAACAAUGAAACUCAAAGGAAUUGACGGGGGGCCCACACAAGCGGAGGAACAUGUGGUUUAAUUCGAUGAUACGCGAGGAACCUUACCUGGGCUUAAAUGUAGAUUGCAUUAUUUGGAAACAGAUAUUUUCUUCGGAACUAUUUACAAGGUGCUGCAUGGUUGUCGUCAGCUCGUGCCGUGAGGUGUCGGGUUAAGUCCCAUAACGAGCGCAACCCCUAUCGUUAGUUACCAUCAGGUGAUGCUGGGGACUCUAGCGAGACUGCCGGUGUAAACCGCGAGGAAGGUGGGGAUGACGUCAAAUCAGCACGGCCCUUAUGUCCAGGGGCUACACACGUGUUACAAUGGCCGAUACAAAGGGCAGCUACCUGGCGACAGGAUGCUAAUCUCGAAAGUCGGUCUUAGUUCGG
rnacentral:rRNA from 1 species